rnacentral:rRNA from 1 species
UGGUUAAUUUAUGGGCAGAUGGUGGAUGCCUUGGGAGAGGGAGGCGAUGAAGGACGUGGCGUGGCUGCGAUAAGCCUCGGGGAGGUGCUUAGCAACCUUUGAUCCGGGGAUUUCCGAAUGGGGAAACCCAACACGGCUCAACACCGUGUUACCAUGCUGUUUCGCCGUGAAUUCAAAAAUCAAAAUUCAAAAUGCAAAAUUUAUCGCUUCGCGAAAGAAAAAAUAUUUUAUUAAUUUUGAAUUUUGAAUUGUCAUUUUGAUUUUUACAUUUUACAUUUUGAAUUUGCUGCGAAGCAGCGUGGGGCGAACCCGCUGAAGUGAAACAUCUCAGUAAGCGGAGGAAAAGAAAAAAAUGUUUCGCAAUUUUUCGAAUUUUGCGAAGCGCAUUCCCUUAGUAGUGGCGAACGAAAAGGGAGGUAGCUUAAACUUACCAUUGCUUCGCAAUGGUUGGGGUUGUAAGUUAGAUAUGUCCCAGAGCAAUCUGGACAGAGCCUCACAAAAUUGUGAUUUGAUUAGGCGAACUACCCUGGAAAGGGAGGCCAAAGAUGGUAAUAGCCCAGUAGUCGAAAAUCAUCACAUGCUCUGAGUAUCUAUACUUGAGUACCACGGGAAAUGAAAGUCCUGUGGGAAACAGGCAGAACUAUACUGCCAAAGCUAAAUACUACCCUCUCACCGAUAGUGAACUAGUACCGUGAGGGAAAGGUGAAAAGCAGGGAGGUGAUCCCGGUGAAAUAGAACCUGAAACCAUUUUGCCUACAAAGAGUCGGAGCUGAGCACAUAAGAAAUUAUGUGCUUGGUGACGGCGUGCCUAUUGAAGAAUGAGCCAACGAGUCUGAGCACAUAGCUUGUCUAAAUCCUUUUGGGAUGAGGGCACAGCGAAAGCAAGUGUUAAUAGCGCGUUUCUGCUAUGUACUCAGGACCCGAAGCCAAGCGAGCUUGCCAUGACCAGGGUGAAUUCUGACGAAGGUCAGAAGGAGGCCCGAACCCGUGAGCCGUGCAAUACUCUGGGAUGAGUUGUGGUAAGAAGUGAAAAGCUAAUCGAGCUUGGUAAUAGCUGGUUCUCCCCGAAAUAGCUUUAGGGCUAGCCUCUACUUAAGUUUUCUAGAGGUAGAGCACUGAAUGGAAUAUUUUGAGCUUUGCUUAGAUAUUUCAAUCAAACUCCGAAUGCUAGAAAAAUUUGGUAGGGAGUCAGACCUUGAGGGCUAAGCUUCAAGGUCAAAAAGGGAACAGCCUUGAUCGUCAUCUAAGGUCCCAAAAUUUGAGCUAAGUGAUAAAGGAAGUGGAAUUUCUCUGACAACUAGGAGGUUGGCUUAGAAGCAGCAACCCUUUAAAAAGUGCGUAAUAGCUUACUAGUUAAGAGAUUCCGCGCCAAAAAUUUACGGGACUCAAGCUCAAUACCGAAGAUACGGCCCCGUACCAAUUUUGCUCCUGAAAAUCUUUGCGAAGCGCGUGCGACGAAUAGUCGCGUUCCGUCAUGGGCGAAGCGCUUCGCCCCCACGAAGGUUAUGCCUAUUCGGCAUACGCACUUCGCGAUAAAAAUUCAGAGGCAAAAUUGGUACGGGGGGUAGGGGAGCAUCCCUAGCGCAGUGAAGCCCUUUCGUAAGGAAGAGUGGAGUGCCAGGGAGUGAAAAUGUUGGCAUGAGUAACCACAAUUGCCGUGAAAUUCGGCGACACCGAAAGCCCAAGGUUUCCUUGGCAAUGACAAUCAGCCAAGGGUUAGGCGGGCCUUAAGCAAAGUCGAAAGGCGUAGCUGAUGGACAGCCGGUUAAUAUUCCGGCCCCCGCGCACAUAAUCUAAAGAGAUGACGAAGUUUAGUAGUUCGGGCGAGUUAUUGGAUUCUCGUUGCUAAUCUAAGAAUUCUCAAGGGUUAGCAAAAUACUCUGAUUCGUUAGAGUAAAUUCGAAUGAGCAGGCUUCCUAGAAAACUCUCUGAAGAAUUAAUUAUGUGCGUGGUCCGUACCCCAAACCGACACAGGUGGGCUGGCGUAAGAGUGCCAAGGUGAACGGGCGAAACCUCGUUAAGGAACUCGGCAAAAAAGCGGCCGUAACUUAGGAAUAUGGCCUGCCCCGACUCGCAAGAGUUUAGGGGUUGCAACAAAAGUUCCCCUGGCGACUGUUUAUCAAAAACACAGGUCCCUGCUUAACUCGUAAGAGGAUGUAUAGGGGCUGAGGCCUGACCAGUGCUGGAACGUUAACGUUGCCGGUUCUCGCCGCAAGGUGAGGGCUGAGCGACCGAAGCGCCAGUGAACGUCCGCCGUAACUAUAACGGUGUUAAAGUAGGAAAACUGCUUUAGUAAAAUCUGGCUAUAUGCUGGAAAGUCUGGUGAAUCCGGUACUACUUUGAUAUAAUUAAGAUAAGGAAUAAUUUUACCUUAUCAUUAUGAAAAGUAAAAAAGUAUCCGGUGCAGACAAUCAGCAGGAAAGAUCCGCCUUUGGCGGAAAUCCUCAGAGGCCAUACGCCAGACCGAAGCACAUAAUUAAUGAUUAUGUGCUCGGAAGAUAUGGUCCGAACUUCGUGGCGACACGAAGAAUUCCAUUAAAUGGAUUUACCCUCCAAAAUUUUUCAAGGAAAAACUUAGGAGGGUUUAACAAAUUGAGCGUAAUCCCUUGUCAGGUGAGUUCUGACCCGCAUGAAAGGCUUAACGACUGGGGGACUGUCUCAACGAGGCGCCCGGUGAAAAUGCAAUACCGGUAAAGAUGCCGGUUACCUGCGGCUAGACGGAAAGACCCCGGGAGCUUUACUGUAGCCAGAUAUUGAGCUUUGGUUUUAGAUGCGUAGCGUAGGUGGGAGACUUUGAAGUUCCGAUUUCGGUCGGGAUGGAGUCGUCAAUGAAACACCACUCUUUUAAAACCUUGGUUCUAACUCGAAAGAAAACAGUGUCUGGCGGUCAGUUUAAGUGGGGCACUUGCCUCCUAAAAGGUAAUGGAGGCGUUUAAAGGUCGGCUAGCUCCGGAUGGAAAUCGGAGCGGUCGGGCAAAGCCAAAAGCCGGCUUUACUGCAAGGCGGAUAUGCCGCGCAGUUGGGAAACCAGAACUUAGUGAACCGAUGGUGGUUCGUAGAACCGCCAGAGAUCAUCAGCCAAAAGCUACCCCGGGGAUAACAGGCUAGUAGGGCCCGCGAGUCCACAUCAACGGCCCUGUUCGGCACCUCAAAAAUUUACCCGCUUAAGUUUUGCGUAAGCAAAAGUUAGGUGGGUCGCCGACACCCGCCCAAAUUUUCUUUGAAAACUUGUGCGGGCAAGAAUCGGGGUGCUAUGGCAGUAAUGUCAUACCAAAAAUUUGGCUAAUAACGGUGAAACCUUUAAAAAGGUAACACCGUGGGAAGUCAGCGCAUUUUACUUCGUAAAAUGCUAAAAUCAAAAAUAAAAAAUCAAAUAUCAAAAAUUUUGACUUUUGCAUUUUGAGUUUUGAAUUUAGCAAGCGAAGCGAGCGCUUGACCCCGUAGAGACUCAGUCAUCUGAGGUGACUGGAUGGAAGUUUUAACCUUUCAUAAUAUGCCAACCCGAGCAUAUAAAGCGUUAUGUGCUCGGUGAAGAUAUAGUCCAAACUAUUAGAAAUAAUAGAAAAUUGCGAUGUCGGCUCUUCGCAUCCUGGGGGUGAAGCAGCUCCCAAGGGUUAGGCUGUUCGCCUAUUAAAGCGGAACGUGAGCUGGGUUAGUGAAAACUACUGAGCCCAGUAAAAAUCGACUCAUAACGGUGAAACCCAUUAGUUUUUGUGGUAAAAUUAACCAAUGGGCAAUACCGUGGGAAGAUUACAAUCUUUAUUUCCGCCACAUCAAUUAGAUGUGAUUAUUGGAUCAUUGUUGGGCGAUGGAAGAUUAGAAUGUCGUUCCAUUGGUAAAAGAUACCCAAUUAGCGCAAGGUUAAGAAUACAUCAGAGUGAUAAACAAAAAGAAUAUGUCUUUUGGAAGUAUAAUCAAUUGAAAAAUCUUGUACUAAAAGGACCAAGAAGAAUAAAAGUAUGGUAUGAUUCAAAAAGGAAAAAAGAGUAUUAUUCUUGGUACUUCCAUACGAAAACAUCUGGGGAUUUUGGAGAAUUACACCGCUAUUUUUACAAAAAUGGUCAGAAAAUUCUGCCAAUCCAAUUACCAUAAUCCUUAAAAGUAUUUAUUAUUCCUUCAAUGAACUAUAAGAUUUGUAAUCCCCGUAACGACUUUUCCGCUCGGAAUGCGGAAAGAUAGGAGCAUAUUGCUUCUAUAAAACGUCGGUGCUUAAUUACGGAAAUUAAGCAAAGGUAUAGUCUAAUACUGUUAGUAAUAACAGAGAAUAUUGUCAAACCGUCAAUUUGGCGGCUUUCCGUCGUAAGACGAAUUGCAAAACCGACUAAUAUCGGUGAAGUCCAUAAAAUGUUCAACCUGUAAUUUUAUGGAUAAUACCGAGGCAACCGAAGCACAUAACAAGUUUAUGUGCUCGGAAGCCGUAGAGACUUUCCCGAUUUAUCGGGAGGACAGAAGAUUAAAUCUUCUGUAAUACGUCGGUCCCAAGCACAUAAAAUUUUAUGUGCUCGGUGGUGAUAUAGUCCAUACUUUUGGUAACAAAAGAUUAAUAUGCGUGAGACAGGUUGGUCCCUAUCUACCGCAGGCGCCGAGUCUUGAGGGGAGUCGCUCUUAGUACGAGAGGAUCAGAGCGAACCAACCUCUGGUCUACCAGCUGUCUUGCCAAAGGCACCGCUGGGUAGCUAUGUUAGGAACUGAUAAGUGCUGAAAGCAUCUAAGCACGAAGCAGGCCCCAAGAUUAGGACUCAUAGAUUCCUCAGAGACUAUGAGGUUGAUAGGCUCCAGGUGUAAGGGCAGCAAUGCCUUCAGCCAAGGAGUACUAAUAAAUC